rnacentral:misc_RNA from 1 species
AAAAAAAAACGUUACACAAAUCUAAACCAAACAACAAACGUCUCUAUACAAUCAGCAAAAGGCAGAAUCUCCAUGAAAAGCUAUAGAGGAAGGAAAGGGUCAAAUGAAUUGGAGUAUACAAUCAAAUAACAUGACAGAGAACAAAAUUCACAGCUUUAUGGAGGUAAACAAUUCACCAAAGAAGUGAACAAUUCACAUGAACCACCCAAAUCAAGCGAGGAAUCCCACGUACAUUAUCUCAGAU